AGCGGGGUAGAGGAAUUGGUCAACUCAUCAGGCUCAUGACCUGAAGACUGCAGGUUCGAAUCCUAUCCCCGCCU
rnacentral:tRNA from 1 species